rnacentral:rRNA from 1 species
UACGUAGGGACCAAGCGUUGUUCGGAUUUACUGGGCGUAAAGGGCGCGUAGGCGGCGCUGUAAGUCACUUGUGAAAUCUCCGGGCUUAACUCGGAACGGUCAAGUGAUACUGCAGUGCUAGAGUGCGGAAGGGGCAAUCGGAAUUCUUGGUGUAGCGGUGAAAUGCGUAGAUAUCAAGAGGAACACCGGUGGCGAAGGCGGUUCUCUGGGCAUGUCCUGACGCUGAGGAGCGAAAGUGUGGGGAGCAAACAGG